UGCCCUAGUAACGGCGAGUGAAGCGGCAACAGCUCAAAUUUGAAAUCUGGCCCAAGGCCCGAGUUGUAAUUUGCAGAGGAUGCUUUUGGUGAGGCGCUUACCGAGUCCCCUGGAAUGGGGCGCCACAGAGGGUGAGAGCCCCGUAUGGUUUGCCGCCGAGCCUCUGUAAAGCUCCUUCGACGAGUCGAGUAGUUUGGGAAUGCUGCUCUAAAUGGGAGGUAAAUUUCUUCUAAAGCUAAAUACCGGCCAGAGACCGAUAGCGCACAAGUAGAGUGAUCGAAAGAUGAAAAGCACUUUGAAAAGAGGGUUAAAUAGCACGUGAAAUUGUUGAAAGGGAAGCGCUCGUGACCAGACUUGCGCCGGGCGGAUCAAUUCAGCCUUCGGGCUGGGUGCGCUCUGCCCGGCUCAGGCCAGCAUCGGUUUUCGCCGGGGGAUAAAAGCUUCGGGAACGUAGCUCCCUACGGGGAGUGUUAUAGCCCGUUGCAUAAUACCCCGGCGGGGACCGAGGACCGCGCUUCGGCAAGGAUGCUGGCGUAAUGGUCAUCAGCGACCCGUCUUGAAACACGGACCGAGGAGUCAAGCAUUAGUGCGAGUGUUUGGGUGUAAAACCCGCACGCGUAAUGAAAGUGAACGUAGGUGAGAGCUUCGGCGCAUCAUCGACCGAUCCUGAUGUUUUCGGAUGGAUUUGAGUAGGAGCAUUAACGCUUGGACCCGAAAGAUGGUGAACUAUACUUGAAUAGGGUGAAGCCA
rnacentral:rRNA from 1 species